UUUAUAUAAAAUAUUUUGGAUGAAUAUUUAUAUAAUAUUAACAUANUUCAUAUUACUAUAUAUUUUAGUAUAUGAAAUUUUACUUUGAGAAAAUUAGAGUGCUUAAAGCAGGCAUAUGCCUUGAAUACUCCAGCAUGGAAUAAUAUUAAAGAUUUUUAUCUUUCUUAUUGGUUCUAAGAUAAGAAUAAUGAUUAAUAGGGACAGUUGGGGGCAUUUGUAUUUAACAGUCAGAGGUGAAAUUCUUAGAUUUGUUAAAGACAAACUAAUGCGAAAGCAUUUGCCAAGGAUGUUUUCAUUAAUCAAGAACGAAAGUUAGGGGAUCGAAGACGA
rnacentral:rRNA from 1 species